rnacentral:rRNA from 1 species
UGGAAGUAAAAGUCGUAACAAGGUCUCCGUUGGUGAACCAGCGGAGGGAUCAUUACCGAGUCUUACAACUCCCAAACCCCUGUGAACUUAUACCUUUACCGUUGCUUCGGCGGGUUAACGCCCCGGAAGGCCCCAAGAGGCCGCCGGAACCAGGCGCCCGCCGGGGGACCUAAACUCUUGUAUUUUCUUACCUAGCAUGUCUGAGUGGAAUCAUAAACAAAUGAAUCAAAACUUUCAACAACGGAUCUCUUGGUUCUGGCAUCGAUGAAGAACGCAGCGAAAUGCGAUAAGUAAUGUGAAUUGCAGAAUUCAGUGAAUCAUCGAAUCUUUGAACGCACAUUGCGCCCGCCAGUAUUCUGGCGGGCAUGCCUGUUCGAGCGUCAUUUCAACCCUCAAGCCCCAGCGGCCUGGUGUUGGGGACCGGCGACCUCGCUGCACCUGGUGCAAGCGUCCGCCGCCCCCGAAAUGAAUUGGCGGCCUCGUCGCGGCCUCCUCUGCGUAGUAGCACAACCUCGCAACGGGAGCGCGACGCGGCCACUGCCGUAAAACGCCCAACUUUUUUAGAGUUGACCUCGGAUCAGGUAGGAAUACCCGCUGAACUUAAGCAUAUCAAUAAGCGGAGGAA